CCUACGGGUGGCAGCAGUGAGGAAUAUUGGUCAAUGGGCGGGAGCCUGAACCAGCCAAGUCGCGUGAGGGAAGACGGUCCUACGGAUUGUAAACCUCUUUUGCCGGGGAGCAACGGGGUCCUUGCGAGGGCCCGAUGAGAGUACCCUGAGAAAAAGCAUCGGCUAACUCCGUGCCAGCAGCCGCGGUAAUACGAAGGAUGCGAGCGUUAUCCGGAUUUAUUGGGUUUAAAGGGUGCGUAGGCGGGACCUUAAGUCAGCGGUAAAAUUGCGGUGCUCAACGCCGUAGAGCCGUUGAAACUGGGGUUCUUGAGUGAGCGAGAAGUAUGCGGAAUGCGUGGUGUAGCGGUGAAAUGCAUAGAUAUCACGCAGAACCCCGAUUGCGAAGGCAGCAUACCGGCGCUCAACUGACGCUGAGGCACGAAAGUGCGGGUAUCGAACAGGAUUAGAUACCCCUGUAGUC
rnacentral:rRNA from 1 species